rnacentral:tRNA from 1 species
UGCCUGAUGGUGUAAUGGUAGCACAACUGGUUUUGGUCCAGUUUGUCUAGGUUCGAACCCUGGUCAGGCAGCCA